GCCGAUGUAGCAUAGCAUGGUUAAUGCGCUAGACUCAUAUUCUAGAGAUCGCGAGCUCAAAUCUCGCCAUCGGCA
rnacentral:tRNA from 1 species